rnacentral:rRNA from 1 species
UUCCCCUAGUAACGGCGAGUGAAGAGGGAAAAGCUCAAAUUUAAAAUCUGGCGUCUACGGCCGUCCGAGUUGUAAUCUAGAGAAGUGUUUUCCGCGCUGGACCGUGUACAAGUCCUUUGGAACAAGGCGUCAUAGAGGGUGAGAAUCCCGUCUACGACACGGACUGCCAAGCGCUUUGUGAUACACUCUCAACGAGUCGAGUUGUUUGGGAAUGCAGCUCAAAAUGGGUGGUAAAUUCCAUCUAAAGCUAAAUAUGGGCGAAAGACCGAUAGCGAACAAGUACCGUGAGGGAAAGAUGAAAAGCACUUUGGAAAGAGAGUUAAACAGUACGUGAAAUUGUUGAAAGGGAAACGCUUGAAGUCAGUCGCGUCUUCAGAAAUUCAGCAGGGCUUCUGCCCUGUGUACUUUUCUGUGGGACGGGCCAGCAUCAGUUUUGGCUGCCAGAAAAAGGUGGGAGGAAGGUGGCACCUCUGGGUGUGUUAUAGCCUCCGAUCGUAUGUGGCAGCCGGGACUGAGGACUGCAGCACGCCUUCAUGGCCGGGGUUCGCCCACGUAACGUGCUUAGGAUGCUGGCGUAAUGGCUUUAAGCGACCCGUCUUGAAACACGGACCAAGGAGUCUAACAUGCCUGCGAGUAUUUGGGUGGCAAACCCAUAUGCGCAAUGAAAGUGAACGGUUGGGACUUCUGUCAUGGAAGGCACCGACGCCCGGACCAGACCUAUUGUGACGGAUCCGAGGUAGAGCAUGUAUGUUGGGACCCGAAAGAUGGUGAACUAUGCCUGAGUAGGGUGAAGCCAGAGGAAACUCUGGUGGAGGCUCGUAGAUUCUGACGUGCAAAUCGAUCGUCGAACUUGGGUAUAGGGGCGAAAGAC